rnacentral:piRNA from 1 species
UAAUAUCCAACUAACAACUCAGAAGGCUUA